rnacentral:rRNA from 1 species
GACUCUCGGCAACGGAUAUCUCGGCUCUUGCAUCGAUGAAGAACGUAGAGAAAUGCGAUACUUGGUGUGAAUUGCAGAAUCCCGUGAACCAUCGAGUCUUUGAACGCAAGUUGCGCCCGAAGCCACUAGGCCAAGGGCACGCCUGCCUUGGUGUC